rnacentral:rRNA from 1 species
AUACAGAGGGUGCGAGCGUUAAUCGGAAUUACUGGGCGUAAAGCGCGCGUAGGCGGUUAUUUAAGUCAGAUGUGAAAUCCCUGGGCUCAACCUAGGAACUGCAUCUGAAACUGGGUAACUAGAGUUUAGGAGAGGGGAGUAGAAUUUCGGGUGUAGCGGUGAAAUGCAUAGAGAUCCGAAGGAAUACCAGUGGCGAAGGCGACUCCCUGGCCUAGAACUGACGCUGAGGUGCGAAAGCGAGGGUAGCAAACGGGAUUAGAAACCCUUGUAGUCC